rnacentral:rRNA from 1 species
UACGGGGGGAGCAAGCGUUGUUCGGAUUUACUGGGCGUAAAGGGCGCGUAGGCGGCGCCGCAGGUCGACUGUGAAAUCUCCGGGCUUAACCCGGAAAGGUCAGCCGAUACUGCGGGGCUAGAGUGCAGAAGGGGCAACUGGAAUUCUCGGUGUAGCGGUGAAAUGCGUAGAUAUCGAGAGGAACACCUGCGGCGAAGGCGGGUUGCUGGGCUGACACUGACGCUGAUGCGCGAAAGCUAGGGGAGCGAACGGG